AAGCGGUGGAGCAUGUGGUUUAAUUCGAUGCAACGCGAAGAACCUUUACCUGGUCUUGACAUCCACGGAAGUUUUCAGAGAUGAGAAUGUGCCUUCGGGAACCGUGAGACAGGUGCUGCAUGGCUGUCGUCAGCUCGUGUUGUGAAAUGUUGGGUUAAGUCCCGCAACGAGCGCAACCCUUAUCCUUUGUUGCCAGCGGUCCGGCCGGGAACUCAAAGGAGACUGCCAGUGAUAAACUGGAGGAAGGUGGGAUGACGUCAAGUCAUCAUGGCCCUUACGACCAGGGCUACACACGUGCUACAAUGGCGCAUACAAAGAGAAGCGACCUCGCGAGAGCAAGCGGACCUCAUAAAGUGCGUCGUAGUCCGGAUUGGAGUCUGCAACUCGACUCCAUGAAGUCGGAAUCGCUAGUAAUCGUGGAUCAGCCAAGCCGCGGUGAAUACGUUCCCGGGCCUU
rnacentral:rRNA from 1 species